rnacentral:tRNA from 1 species
GCCCCUAUAUCUCAGCGGAUCAGAGGACCUGAUUACGAAUCAGGGGGUCGCAAGUUCGAAUCUUGCUAGGGGUACCA